ACAGACCCGCCCACCCCACUGCCCCCCUUCUUUGCCCCCAUAGGUGCCGUGGGGACCCACGGAGGAGAGAAAGAGGGAGUGCAGCCUGAAGAGGAAGAGCCCCGAGACCGAGUGCUUCAACUUCAUCCGGGUCCUGGUGGCUCUGAACCGCACCCACCUGUACGCGUGCGGCACCAACGCCUUCAGCCCCGCCUGCACCCACAUCCUCCUGGACAACUCCUCCCUGCCGUGGGUCGCAGUGGGGCAGCGCGAUGGAAAGGGGCAGAGCCCCUUUGACCCCCAGCAUUCCCACACUGCGCUGCUGGACGGCGGGGAGCUGUACGCAGCCACAGCCAACAACUUCCACGGCACGGAGCCCAUCGUCUCGCGCUCGCUGGGCGCCCGAACCGCGCUCAAAACCGACGCCUUCCUGCGCUGGC